CGCGUAGGCUGUGCUGUAAGUCAGGCGUGAAAUCCCCGGGCUCAACCUGGGAAUUGCGCAUGAUACUGCGGCGCUGGAAUGCAGGAGAGAAUGGCGGAAUUCCCAGUGUAGAGGUGAAAUUCGUAGAUAUUGGGAAGAACACCGGUGGCGAAGGCGGCCAUCUGGCCUGCAAUUGACGCUGAGGCGCGAAAGCGUGGGGAGCAAACA
rnacentral:rRNA from 1 species